GUCAAAAAAAUAAAAACAAAAGCAUGUCACAGGCUUCUGAUGCUCUGUGAGGUGUGAGAGUUAAUGGUAUAUUAGAGUUCUGAUGGCA
rnacentral:snoRNA from 1 species